UGGCCACUCCCACCGUCCGACGCAAGCAGCGGCGGCCUCGCGUCCGCCGGCGGCGGCUCGCGCUCGGCGGGGCAGGCGCUCCGGCGACUGACUCCGUGUGGCCGUGGGCUGCGCUCUUGAGGAGGUAUAUUACAUGUUUGCGUACUGUUGCUGCUGCUGCUGAAAUGCUUUUGCUUUUUGCGUGGUUGAACAAAGUUUGAUCAGGCCUUCAAGUUUCAAGUAAAGGCCGUGCUUGACAGUGAGUUAUUGGCAAUAUUUACAUACUCUAGAAGAGAUCAGAGCAGCAUGCUGCACCACUCUUGGUUCAUGGCGACGACGACGACGACGACGCCAUUAAAAAGUCUGAAUGCAGCAGACGGAGCAACUCAGGACCAGGCAAUUUAAUUGUUGGCGAGGUUCACCUAAUUAUGGAGAUGAUGCCAAUAGAUUCAGCUAGCUCGACCCCAGCUCAUUAUUCAUACAUGGUACAUGCAUGUAAAUGCAUGAUACUCUGGCAUCGUUCUAAUAUAAAUAGAGUUAUAUACACAUCUGAUCCAUAAACUUAUUUACAUGAGUAAUUUUAUCAUUUUUGAGAAGGUAC